rnacentral:rRNA from 1 species
UUGACCUCGGAUCAGGUAGGGAUACCCGCUGAACUUAAGCAUAUCAAUAAGCGGAGGAAAAGAAACCAACAGGGAUUGCCUUAGUAACGGCGAGUGAAGCGGCAACAGCUCAAAUUUGAAAUCUGGCUCUUUUAGGGUCCGAGUUGUAAUUUGUAGAGGAUGCUUCGGCGGCGGCUCCGGUCUAAGUUCCUUGGAACAGGACGUCAUAGAGGGUGAGAAUCCCGUAUGUGAUCGGUUGCCUUUGCCAUGUGAAGCUCCUUCGACGAGUCGAGUUGUUUGGGAAUGCAGCUCUAAAUGGGAGGUAAAUUUCUUCUAAAGCUAAAUACUGGCCAGAGACCGAUAGCGCACAAGUAGAGUGAUCGAAAGAUGAAAAGCACUUUGGAAAGAGAGUCAAAAAGUACGUGAAAUUGUUGAAAGGGAAGCGCUUGCAACCAGACCUGCCUGCAGUUGCUCAUCCGGGCUUUUGCCCGGUGCACUCUUCUGCUAUCAGGCCAGCAUCAGUUCGGGCGGUCGGAUAAAGGCUUCGGGAAUGUAGCUCCUCUCGAGGAGUGUUAUAGCCCGUUGCGAAAUGCGGCCAGCCUGAACUGAGGUCCGCGCUUCGGCUAGGAUGUUGGCGUAAUGGUUGUAAGCGGCCCGUCUUGAAACACGGACC